rnacentral:lncRNA from 1 species
UCGUCACAGCCAGGUGUACGGCUAUGAUCUUCUCAGAUCGGACGGCUAUAAACUAGUCUCCGAUCUCUCAAAAGCCGAGCUUCCCCUAAAGUCUCCUUCUCUCAGAUCUCCCCCUCUCUCCAGAAAAGGAAGAAAAAAAAAGAUCGCGAAAGGGGAAAGGGGAAAGAAACGCACCGUAAGCAUUAGAAUCCCUGGUUACUCCGAUCAUAGCCAUUCUCUUCCAAUCCGAUGUUUCAGUUCGCUGUCGAAUCCUAUCGCUCAUGUUCUCCAGCCGCGUCGUAAUUACUUCCCUUUUGCGACGAUUUAGGGCUUCCGUUUGUUCUCCGUUUUUUUUUCAAAUUAUCGGUGUCAUAUUUGUGGAGCCAAGGAUUGUUAUUGUUUAUCUGUGGAUUUGGACGAGAGAUUAUAUUUGGAUUUGCUUCUGUUUAAUUAUGAGAUAUGUUUGGUUGCGAUUUUGCUUUUUCUUAGGGCUUUCUUUGUGCGGAUUUGUUGAUUGCGUGUGAAAUCCUAAAAAGUGACGAAAUGGCGAUUCAGUAUUUAUGUUGUUGAUUCUAAAAUUGUUUAUCGUGAUUGGAUCGGAAGUGGUCUGAAUUGGAUCAAUGGAGUUGGUAUAAAUUGUUUAUCAUUUUUUUGCCGUGAUUGUCGAACAAAUUGAGAGGAAUAGGUAAUGGAGUUUCCUUUGGGGUUCGUUUUAUUUAUGGUAGUGUGGUUCGUUUCAUUUAUGGUAGUGUGGUUCGUUUAAAAACAAUAAAGGGAAAAAAGAUCUAGCUUUAUGUCUAUAAUUCAAAAUGCUUCAUCAUAUGAUCUGAAAGAAUGGUACUGUAUAGCAGCUAUUGUAGCUUUAUAAUGGCCUUACAGUUCCUUGUUAUGUCAUAAAUAUAAUCAUUAAUUAUUGCUUAUGACCAUU